rnacentral:rRNA from 1 species
CCUACGGGGGGCAGCAGUGGGGGAUAUUGCACAAUGGGGGGAACCCUGAUGCAGCGACGCCGCGUGGGUGAAGAAGCGCCUCGGCGCGUAAAGCCCUGUCAGCAGGGAAGAAAAUGACGGUACCUGAAGCAGAAGCCCCGGCUAACUACGUGCCAGCAGCCGCGGUAACACGUAGGGGGCAAGCGUUAUCCGGAUUGACUGGGUGUAAAGGGGGCGCAGACGGCGAUGCAAGCCAGGAGUGAAAGCCCGGGGCCCAACCCCGGGACUGCUCUUGGAACUGCGUGGCUGGAGUGCAGGAGGGGCAGGCGGAAUGCCUGGUGUAGCGGUGAAAUGCGUAGAUAUCAGGAGGAACACCGGUGGCGAAGGCGGCCUGCUGGACUGCAACUGACGUUGAGGCCCGAAAGCGUGGGGAGCAAAAAGGAUUAGAUAACCGGGUAGUC